AGUGUGUUUGAAUCUCCAGGGCCCUCCCCUAACUGUCACAGUUAACAGUAAAACAGUCUUUUAUUUCGCCAAGAAAAGCACAUGAAUAUUCAAGACAAAGUUACUGACAUGGUCUGGAUGAUGACCCUCUCAGGUUAGAUAGUACUUUACACGCUGUGGAGUUGAAGUUCUUUUGGAGUACUAAAGUGUUUAUGACGUGACUAAUGAAAACUGUCCAGGUCCUGAAGAUCCUAUGCAGAAAAAGAAAAUCCAAAGCUGCCAAGAAAGAAUUGUAGUGGGAACAUGGGACAUCGAAAGAGCAAACAUGGAAUAGCUUAAUGGAGUGAAAGAUGAAAUUAACCAACCACAGGUUGACUUCUUAGGCACCAGCAAAUUAAAAUGGACUGGACACUGUGAGAGAGAUGAUUACAAAACAAAGAAGUAAUAGUAUUGAUUUCUUAAACAGUAGGACAUCGCAAAGAUAGUACUUUAGGCAUAAUGCACUCAAGGAUUAGAUGUAGAGGAGAUGACCAGAAUCAGCCUGAGGGAGAGGUCAAAAGCGUCAUCAGCCUCGAGUCUCUGUGCACCCACAAGAGAUCUAAAUCCAGCCCAACUUGAAUUCCAUUGACUCUUACCUACUACCAAUUUGCUUUGACCGUUAGAAGUUCAGAUUCUUGUAGAGAGCUUAAGCUUACAAUAAACCUAUAUAUUCACUUCAAGAA